AUUGAACGCUGGCGGCAUGCUUUACACAUGCAAGUCGAACGGCAGCGCGGGCUUCGGCCUGGCGGCGAGUGGCGAACGGGAGCGUAAUACAUCGGAACGUGCCCAGUAGUGGGAGAUAGCUCGGCGAAAGCCGGCUUAAUACCGCAUACGACCUGACGGCCAACGCGGGGGAUAUUCGGACCUCGCGCUAUUGGAGCGGCCGAUGGCAGAUUAGCUAGUUGGUGGGGUAAAGGCCUACCAAGGCGACGAUCUGUAGCUGGUCUGAGAGGACGACCAGCCACACUGGGACUGAGACACGGCCCAGACUCCUACGGGAGGCAGCAGUGGGGAAUUUUGGACAAUGGGCGAAAGCCUGAUCCAGCAAUGCCGCGUGUGUGAUGAAGGCCUUCGGGUUGUAAAGCACUUUUGGCGGGAACGAAAAGGACUGUGCCAAUACCACGGUUCGAUGACGGUACCCGCAGAAUAAGCACCGGCUAACUACGUG
rnacentral:rRNA from 1 species